AACUCGAUCUCAAAUCAAGUAAGACUACCCGCUGAACUUAAGCAUAUCAAUAAGCGGAGGAAAAGAAACUAACAGGAUUCCCCUAGUAACGGCGAGUGAAGCGGGAUGAGCUCAAAUUUAAAAUCUGGCUGGUUUACUAGUCCGAAUUGUAGUUUAUAGAAGCGUUUUCGGUGGCAGCCUGGGUAUAAAUCCUUUGGAAUAGGGUAUCAUAGAGGGUGAGAAUCCCGUCUUUGACUCAGUGCAUGCUACUAUGUGAUACGUUUUCAAAGAGUCGAGUUGUUUGGGAAUGCAGCUCAAAAUGGGUGGUAAAUUUCAUCUAAAGCUAAAUAUUGGCGAGAGACUGAUAGCGAACAAGUACCGUGAGGGAAAGAUGAAAAGAACUUUGAAAAGAGAGUUAAACAGUGCGUGAAAUUGUUGAAAGGGAAACGUUUGACACCAGUUAUGCGGGUGGAAAAUCAGUCUUUUGCAAUGGGGAGUUGUGGGCGUUCAGACCGCAAGGCUGGCGUUUGCUUCAUCUUUGUUGUAAGUGAUGCACUUUUUCAUUUGCAGGUCAACAUCAGUUUGCUUUGCUGGACAAAACCCCAAGGGAAGGUGGCAGCUUAGGCUGUGUUAUAGCCCUGGGGCGAUACAGUGGAGUGGACUGAGGUUUCGCAGUGUGUGCUCUCGGGCAAGGCUGACUGGGUGCUAUGGGAUCGUUCGGCGUACAAUGCAUGCAUUUUGCGUCGUGUCUUUUUCAUACUCGCUCAACUCGGCUCUUCCACACUUAGGAUGUUGACUUAAUGGUUUUAAACGACCCGUCUUGAAACACGGACCAAGGAGUCUAACAUAUAUGCAAGUGUUUGGGUGGCAAACCCAUGCGCGUAAUGAAAGUGAACGUAGGUGCGAUCCGCAA
rnacentral:rRNA from 1 species